AUGCAGAUACUGUUAAAACUGAAGUGUUUUAUGGUCUUUUCCUCCUGUUUAAAGCAUUUGGUACAUAAAUAUCUCUAACUCCACUCCAUAAUAAAACAGAGAUGCUUGGUCCCCAACAU
ensembl:snoRNA SNORA63 Small nucleolar RNA SNORA63